UUGUGAAGAGUUUUCCUGACUUAAACACCCCCUGGGUGGAAUCGAAAAGCAGAAGGAUCUGAGUCCUCGCUGGCUGCCCCCCUCCUCCGAUUUGCCCCCUUUGCCCCUUUUUAACCCCUGUAAAAACCACUCAGCACAGUCUUACACUUAAUAAAUGCAGGGUGAAGGGCAGUGCCUUCAGCAGAUAUUACUGAGCAUGCUCAGUCCACCAUAAGUAGCACAUUCCUCCAGGGAGCAGUUUUCUGUACUGCACCCGUGGGAGAGUUAAUUAAUCCACCCCAAUGGGCGAUAGCAGCUAUGUCUGUGGGAGAAGCUAAAAUAAAUAAAUGCCAAUUGACUCUCCUUUGGAAGGAGGCAGGAAAUGGGAAAUGCCAACCAGAGGGGAUUUCCCUGGCAGAUAAGAUUUCCACCUCUCCCAGAACAGGCACCGUUGCCGCAAAUGGUGUCCAGUGCAGGAGAGUUGGCAACCCUACUGGCAGAUGAAACAUUUUCCCCACAGACCCUAGAAGAGGCUGAAAAGCUGAAGAAUUAUCAGCUCUGGUCUGAGUAUGAGCAGCAGCAUUACCUCCUGCAAAUGGAAACAAACCUGUUUGACUAAGCGAUUGGCUGAACAAGAAGUGGAACUGAGUGGACGUACAGGCUCUGAAAUUUUACAUUGUUUUGUUUUUGAAUGCAGCACGUCAUUUUUAAGUGAGCCAAGGAGGCAAGACAGAUCAGACUCCUGAGAGGGGUGCAGAGGUGGGGAGAGGCUGAGAGCCACUGGCAUGUAGGACCAACAGAGAGAGCUCACUGGAGAACAGACAGUGGUGGGGGGACCACUUCAUCCGUUUACUGGACUACAACUGGGGGACAAGAAGAGCACCCUGCAAUCCUUCAGGAAGCCAAAAGGAGAGCACACUUUGUGUUCAUGAAAAGGGGGAUUUCAUCAAUGGUGGCAGGUGACCCCGGGAGUAUGCUUUAGCCAUGGAUUUUACCUGUAAAAGUUAAUCUCAGCCUAUCUGAAUCCUGUUAUACCUGGUGUUUGGUGUGUAACCUGUUGGUCUUAUUGCUUCAUUCACUAUCUCUUCAAUCUUAGCUAAUAAACUCCUGUUUGUUUUCACUAAAAAUAUAUCUCAGUGCUGUGAUGUUCUAUUGGUGCUGAUCCUCAGUUGAAUCAAACAAGCUGGUGUCCCAACGGCUUACCUGGGAAUUUCUGAGUAUCCAGUGGAGAGGGGCUGGACACUACAGAAGGAUACGUCAGAGGGGCUGGAGACGAGGUUGCACCUAGUGUUAUUCUGCAAGGCAAAGUAAGGACUGGCAGAGCCCUGAUGAGUUUGUG